GAAUUGCGAUACGUAUUAUGACUUGCAGACGUGAAUCAUCAAUCUUUGAACGCACAUUGCAUCGGGGGGUAUCCCCCCCGGUAUACCAUGUUGAGCAUAUUUUAUUUUUCUCUUUCUCUCUUUCUCUCUCUCUCUCUCUUCCCCUCCUUCUUUGGGGGGGUGGGGGAAAGAGGAGGAUGGGAGAAAAGGAGGCCUUUUACUUCCAAAAUCUAAUCAACUAUGUUAUUAGAGGAACAACCUAUCUUUCUCAGCAUGGCAGGACUACCCGCUGAACUUAA
rnacentral:misc_RNA from 1 species